rnacentral:rRNA from 1 species
AGAAAGUAAGCAAGGGCAGACGGUGGAUGCCUUGGCUCUCGGAGGCGACGAAGGACGUGAUAAGCUGCGAAAAGCCCGGGGGAGGCGCAAAUAGCCCUUGAUCCCGGGAUAUCCGAAUGGGGCAACCCGGCAGGCUGAAGGCCUGUCAUCCCGUAAGGGAGGCGAACGUGGGGAACUGAAACAUCUAAGUACCCAUAGGAGGAGAAAAUAAACAAUGAUUCCGUAAGUAGUGGCGAGCGAACACGGAAGAGCCCAAACCCAUGUCGUCUAGGCGACACGGGGGUUGUAGGACCACGACGUGGCAAGAUAGAGUCAAGUGGAACGCCUUGGAAAAGGCGGUCAUAGAGGGUGAAAACCCCGUACACGACUGACGAUUGAAGCCUAGUGGCAUCCUGAGUAGCGCGGGGCACGAGAAAUCUUGCGUGAAACAGCGGGGCCCAUCCCGUAAGGCUAAAUACUCCCGAGAGACCGAUAGCGAACCAGUACCGUGAGGGAAAGGUGAAAAGAACCCCGAGCAGGGGAGUGAAAUAGACCCUGAACCCGUCUGCCUACAAGCGGUCGGAGCAUAGCAAUAUGUGACGGCGUGCCUUUUGCAUAAUGAACCUACGAGUUACCUUCCCCGGCAAGGUUAAGUACCUAAGGUACGGAGCCGAAGCGAAAGCGAGUCUGAAGAGGGCGGCCAGUCGGGGGGGUAGACGCGAAACCGAGUGAUCUACCCUUGGCCAGGUUGAAGGUUGGGUAACACCAACUGGAGGACCGGAUGGGUAAGCGUUGAAAAGCUUUCCAAUGAGCUGAGGGUAGGGGUGAAAGGCUAAUCAAACUCGGAGAUAGCUCGUACUCCCCGAAAUGCAUUUAGGUGCAGCCUCUUUAUAGUAUAUCGUGAGGUAGAGCGACUGAUUGGAUGCGAGGGCUUCACCGCCUAUCAAGUCCAGAUAAACUCCGAAUGCGCGAUAUAUAUUUACAGGGAGUGAGGGCGCGGGUGCUAAGGUCCGUGUCCGAGAGGAGAAGAAUCCAGACCACCGGCUAAGGCCCCCAAAUGAUCGUUGAGUUGAACUAACGAGGUCGGAUCGCAGAGACAGCUAGGAUGUUGGCUUGGAAGCAGCCAUUCAUUUAAAGAGUGCGUAACAGCUCACUAGUCGAGCGAUCUGGCGUGGAUAAUAAUCGGGCAUAAACGAUCUGCCGAAGCCGUGGAUGUCGUAAGACAUGGUAGGGGAGCAUUCCAUGCGGCGUCGAAGAUGAGGGAUGACCCUUGUUGGAGCGCAUGGAAAAGCAAAUGUAGGUAUGAGUAACGAUAAGGGGGGCGAGAAACCCCCCCGCCGAAAGACCAAGGUUUCCUGAUCAACGCUAAUCGGAUCAGGGUGAGUCGGGACCUAAGGCAAAGCCGAACGGCGCCGCCGAUGGAAGAAUGGGUUAAUAUUCCCAUACUGCCUCAUGGAGUGACGUGGAGACGGAGAAGUGACAGUCCUGCCGGCUGACGGAAUAGCCGGUUGAAGGGUGUAGAUAUUGAUUCCCGUAGGCAAAUCCGCGGGGAGAGUCGAACCUGACAGUAUACCGAGUACUUGUACGAGGUAAUAUGGACGUAACCAUGCUCCCAAGAAAAUCCGCUAAACUUAUCCAUGCGGCACCCGUACCGUAAACGGACACACGUGGUCGGGUUGAGAAUACUGAGGCGCUCGAGUGACUCACGGUUAAGGAACUAGGCAAAUUGACCCUGUAACUUCGGGAUAAAGGGUCCUCGUCGUAAGGCGAGGCGCAGAGAAUAGGUCCAGGCAACUGUUUAACAAAAACACAUGGCUAUGCUAAAUGGAAACAUGACGUAUAUAGCCUGACACCUGCCCGGUGCUGGAAGGUUAAGAGGAGAUGUCAUCGCAAGAGAAGCGUUGAAUUGAAGCCCCAGUAAACGGCGGCCGUAACUAUAACGGUCCUAAGGUAGCGAAAUUCCUUGUCGGGUAAGUUCCGACCUGCACGAAUGGUGUAAUGAUCUGGACACUGUCUCAACCGUGAGCUCGGUGAAAUUGUAGUAUCGGUGAAGAUGCCGAUUACCCGCGAUGGGACGAAAAGACCCCGUGAACCUUUACUAUAGCUUUACAUUGAAUUUGGGCAGACGAUGUGUAGGAUAGGCCGGAGGCUUUGAAGGGGGUACGCCAGUAUCCUUGGAGCCGCCGUUGAAAUACGGCCCUUCGGUUGUUUGAGUUCUAACUCCUAGGCAGGAGGACACUGUAUGGUGGGUAGUUUGACUGGGGUGGUCGCCUCCAAAAGCGUAACGGAGGCUUCUAAAGGUGCCCUCAGACCGAUUGGUAACCGGUCGCAGAGUGUAAUGGCAUAAGGGCGCUUGACUGGGAGAGAUACAACUCGAUCAGGUAGGAAACUAGAGCAUAGUGAUCCGGUGGUUCCGCAUGGAAGGGCCAUCGCUCAAAGGAUAAAAGGUACUCCGGGGAUAACAGGCUGAUCAUUCCCAAGAGCUCAUAUCGACGGAAUGGUUUGGCACCUCGAUGUCGGCUCGUCACAUCCUGGGGCUGGAGAAGGUCCCAAGGGUUGGGCUGUUCGCCCAUUAAAGUGGCACGCGAGCUGGGUUCAGAACGUCGUGAGACAGUUCGGUCUCUAUCUAUCGUGGGCGCAGGAGAUUUGAGGGGCUCUGACACUAGUACGAGAGGACCGUGUUGGACGUACCACUGGUUUACCGGUUGUCCCGCCAGGGGCACCGCCGGGUAUCUAAGUACGGAUCGGAUAAGUGCUGAAAGCAUCUAAGUACGAAGCCGGCCUCAAGAUUAGAUCUCCCUCAAGGGUGGUUAUAGACGAUGACCUUGAUAGGCCACAGGUGUAAGGGCGGCGACGUCCGAGCCGAGUGGUACUAAUAGCCCGGGACUUUCCUCA